rnacentral:rRNA from 1 species
AUUGAACGCUGGCGGAAUGCUUUACACAUGCAAGUCGAACGGCAGCACGGGGCAACCUGGUGGCGAGUGGCGAACGGGUGAGUAAUACAUCGGAACGUGCCCAAUCGUGGGGGAUAACGUAGCGAAAGUUACGCUAAUACCGCAUACGAUCUACGGAUGAAAGCGGGGGAUCGCAAGACCUCGCGCGAAUGGAGCGGCCGAUGUCAGAUUAGGUAGUUGGUGGGGUAAAGGCUCACCAAGCCGACGAUCUGUAGCUGGUCUGAGAGGACGACCAGCCACACUGGGACUGAGACACGGCCCAGACUCCUACGGGAGGCAGCAGUGGGGAAUUUUGGACAAUGGGCGCAAGCCUGAUUCAGCCAUUCCGCGUGAGUGAAGAAGGUCUUCGGAUUGUAAAGCUCUUUCGGCCGGGAAGAAAUCGUAUCAGCUAAUACCUGGUGCGGAUGACGGUACCGGCAUAAGAAGCACCGGCUAACUACGUGCCAGCCGCCGCGGUAAAAC